rnacentral:rRNA from 1 species
AACGAACGCUGGCGGCAUGCCUAACACAUGCAAGUCGAACGGGCCCUUCGGGGUUAGCGGCACACGGGUGCGUAACACGUGGGAACCUACCCUUUGGUUCGGAAUAACGCUCGGAAAGGAGCGCUAAUACCGGAUACGCCCUUUUGGGGAACGGCUUAUCGCCGCAGGAUCGGCCCGCGUCUGAUUAGCUAGUUGGUGGGGUAAUGGCCUACCAAGGCGACGAUCAGUAGCUGGUCUGAGAGGAUGAUCAGCCACACUGGGACUGAGACACGGCCCAGACUCCUACGGGAGGCAGCAGUGGGGAAUAUUGGACAAUGGGCGCAAGCCUGAUCCAGCCAUGCCGCGUGAGUGAUGAAGGCCUUAGGGUUGUAAAGCUCUUUUGUCCGGGACGAUAAUGACGGUACCGGAAGAAUAAGCCCCGGCUAACUUCGUG